rnacentral:rRNA from 1 species
GGGUUGUGAGGUUAAGCGACUAAGCGUACACGGUGGAUGCCCUGGCAGUCAGAGGCGAUGAAGGACGUGCUAAUCUGCGAAAAGCGUCGGUAAGGUGAUAUGAACCGUUAUAACCGGCGAUGUCCGAAUGGGGAAACCCAGUGCAAUUCGUUGCACUAUCGUUAACUGAAUACAUAGGUUAACGAGGCGAACCGGGGGAACUGAAACAUCUAAGUACCCCGAGGAAAAGAAAUCAACCGAGAUUCCCCCAGUAGCGGCGAGCGAACGGGGAGCAGCCCAGAGUCUGAAUCAGCUUGUGUGUUAGUGGAACGGUCUGGAAAGUCCGACGGUACAGGGUGAUAGUCCCGUACACCAAAAUGCACAGGCUGUGAACUCGAAGAGUAGGGCGGGACACGUGGUAUCCUGUCUGAAUAUGGGGGGACCAUCCUCCAAGGCUAAAUACUCCUGACUGACCGAUAGUGAACCAGUACCGUGAGGGAAAGGCGAAAAGAACCCCGGCGAGGGGAGUGAAAAAGAACCUGAAACCGUGUACGUACAAGCAGUGGGAGCACCUUCGGGUGUGACUGCGUACCUUUUGUAUAAUGGGUCAGCGACUUAUAUUCUGUAGCAAGGUUAACCGUAUAGGGGAGCCGCAGGGAAACCGAGUCUUAACUGGGCGUUAAGUUGCAGGGUAUAGACCCGAAACCCGGUGAUCUAGCCAUGGGCAGGUUGAAGGUUGGGUAACACUAACUGGAGGACCGAACCGACUAAUGUUGAAAAAUUAGCGGAUGACUUGUGGCUGGGGGUGAAAGGCCAAUCAAACCGGGAGAUAGCUGGUUCUCCCCGAAAGCUAUUUAGGUAGCGCCUCGUGAAUUCAUCUUCGGGGGUAGAGCACUGUUUCGGCUAGGGGGUCAUCCCGACUUACCAACCCGAUGCAAACUACGAAUACCGAAGAAUGUUAUCACGGGAGACACACGGCGGGUGCUAACGUCCGUCGUGAAGAGGGAAACAACCCAGACCGCCAGCUAAGGUCCCAAAGUCAUGGUUAAGUGGGAAACGAUGUGGGAAGGCACAGACAGCCAGGAUGUUGGCUUAGAAGCAGCCAUCAUUUAAAGAAAGCGUAAUAGCUCACUGGUCGAGUCGGCCUGCGCGGAAGAUGUAACGGGGCUAAACCAUGCACCGAAGCUGCGGCAGCGACACUAUGUGUUGUUGGGUAGGGGAGCGUUCUGUAAGCCUGCGAAGGUGACCUGUGAGGGUUGCUGGAGGUAUCAGAAGUGCGAAUGCUGACAUAAGUAACGAUAAAGCGGGUGAAAAGCCCGCUCGCCGGAAGACCAAGGGUUCCUGUCCAACGUUAAUCGGGGCAGGGUGAGUCGACCCCUAAGGCGAGGCCGAAAGGCGUAGUCGAUGGGAAACAGGUUAAUAUUCCUGUACUUGGUGUUACUGCGAAGGGGGGACGGAGAAGGCUAUGUUAGCCGGGCGACGGUUGUCCCGGUUUAAGCAUGUAGGCUGGUUGUCCAGGCAAAUCCGGAUAAUCAAGGCUGAGGUGUGAUGACGAGGCACUACGGUGCUGAAGUAACAAAUGCCCUGCUUCCAGGAAAAGCCUCUAAGCAUCAGGUAACAUUAAAUCGUACCCCAAACCGACACAGGUGGUCAGGUAGAGAAUACCAAGGCGCUUGAGAGAACUCGGGUGAAGGAACUAGGCAAAAUGGUGCCGUAACUUCGGGAGAAGGCACGCUGGUGUGUAGGUGAAGUCCCUGCGGAUGGAGCUGAGACCAGUCGAAGAUACCAGCUGGCUGCAACUGUUUAUUAAAAACACAGCACUGUGCAAACACGAAAGUGGACGUAUACGGUGUGACGCCUGCCCGGUGCCGGAAGGUUAAUUGAUGGGGUUAUCCGUAAGGAGAAGCUCUUGAUCGAAGCCCCGGUAAACGGCGGCCGUAACUAUAACGGUCCUAAGGUAGCGAAAUUCCUUGUCGGGUAAGUUCCGACCUGCACGAAUGGCGUAAUGAUGGCCAGGCUGUCUCCACCCGAGACUCAGUGAAAUUGAACUCGCUGUGAAGAUGCAGUGUACCCGCGGCAAGACGGAAAGACCCCGUGAACCUUUACUAUAGCUUGACACUGAACAUUGAGCCUUGAUGUGUAGGAUAGGUGGGAGGCUUUGAAGCGUGGACGCCAGUCUGCGUGGAGCCAACCUUGAAAUACCACCCUUUAAUGUUUGAUGUUCUAACGUUGGCCCCUGACCGGGGUUGCGGACAGUGUCUGGUGGGUAGUUUGACUGGGGCGGUCUCCUCCCAAAGCGUAACGGAGGAGCACGAAGGUUAGCUAAUCCUGGUCGGACAUCAGGAGGUUAGUGCAAUGGCAUAAGCUAGCUUGACUGCGAGCGUGACGGCGCGAGCAGGUGCGAAAGCAGGUCAUAGUGAUCCGGUGGUUCUGAAUGGAAGGGCCAUCGCUCAACGGAUAAAAGGUACUCCGGGGAUAACAGGCUGAUACCGCCCAAGAGUUCAUAUCGACGGCGGUGUUUGGCACCUCGAUGUCGGCUCAUCACAUCCUGGGGCUGAAGUAGGUCCCAAGGGUAUGGCUGUUCGCCAUUUAAAGUGGUACGCGAGCUGGGUUUAGAACGUCGUGAGACAGUUCGGUCCCUAUCUGCCGUGGGCGCUGGAGAAUUGAGGGGGGCUGCUCCUAGUACGAGAGGACCGGAGUGGACGCAUCACUGGUGUUCGGGUUGUCAUGCCAAUGGCACUGCCCGGUAGCUAAAUGCGGAAGAGAUAAGUGCUGAAAGCAUCUAAGCACGAAACUUGCCCCGAGAUGAGUUCUCCCUGAGACUUUAAGUCUCCUGAAGGAACGUUGAAGACGACGACGUUGAUAGGCCGGGUGUGUAAGCGCAGCGAUGCG